rnacentral:rRNA from 1 species
GCUUGUCUCAAAGAUUAAGCCAUGCAUGUCUAAGUAUAAACACAUCUAUACUGUGAAACUGCGAAUGGCUCAUUAUAUCAGUUAUAGUUUCUUUGAUGGUCCUUGCUACUUGGAUAACCGUAGUAAUUCUAGAGCUAAUACAUGCACCAAACCCUGACUUCUGGAAGGGGUGUAUUUAUUAGAUGGAAACCAAAGCGGGGCAACCCGGGAUGUUGGUGAUUCAUAAUAACUGUCGGAUCGAUUUUCGGAUCGAUGCAUCAUUCAAGUUUCUGCCCUAUCAGCUUUGGAUGGUAGGGUAUUGGCCUACCAUGGCUUUAACGGGUAACGGAGAAUUAGGGUUCGAUUCCGGAGAGGGAGCCUGAGAAAUGGCUACCACAUCCAAGGAAGGCAGCAGG